rnacentral:rRNA from 1 species
GACGAACGCUGGCGGCGUGCCUAAUACAUGCAAGUCGAACGCAGUGGGGCCGGGUGAGUAACACGUGGGUAACCGCCCAUCAGAGGGGAUAACACUUGGAAACAGGUGCUAAACCGAUACUGAUGGAUGGACCCGGGGGGCAUUAGCUAGUUGGGGAGGUAACGGCUCACCAAGGCCACGAUGCAUAGCUGACCUGAGAGGGUGAUCAGCCACACUGGGACUGAGACACGGCCCAGACUCCUACGGGAGGCAGCAGUAGGGAAUAUUCGGCAAUGGACGAAAGUCUGACCGAGCAAUGCCGCGUGAGUGAAGAAGGUUUUCGGAUCGUAAAACUCUGUUGUUAGGGAAGCGGUAUCUACACAGAAAGCCACGGCUAACUACGUGCCAGCAGCCGCGGUAAUUC